rnacentral:rRNA from 1 species
GUCCUAAACAAUAAAGCUAAAAUCAACUAAAGCUUAUUCAACAAAACUUGUCCGGAGAUAACGGACUUA